rnacentral:misc_RNA from 1 species
CUGAGUUACCGCUCUAUAACCCUUUGUGAACAUACCUAACCGUUGCUUCGGCGGGCAGGGGAAGCCUCUCGCGGGCCUCCCCUCCCGGCGCCGGCCCCACCACGGGGACGGGGCGCCCGCCGGAGGAAACCAAACUCUAUUUACACGACGUCUCUUCU